CCUACGGGUGGCAGCAGUGAGGAAUAUUUGUCAAUGGACGCAAGUCUGAACCAGCCAUGCCGCGUGCAGGAAGACGGCUCUAUGAGUUGUAAACUGCUUUUGUACGAGGGUAAACGCAGAUACGUGUAUCUUUCUGAAAGUAUCGUACGAAUAAGGAUCGGCUAACUCCGUGCUAGCAGCCGCGGUAAUACGGAGGAUGCAAGCGUUAACCGGAUUUAUUGGGUUUAAAGGGUUCGUAGGCGGUCGGAUAAGUUAGAGUUGAAAUCCCGAGGAUCAACUUCGGAAUUGUCUCUGAUACUGUUCAGCUAGAGAGUAGUUGCGGUAGCCGGAAUGUAUGGUGUAGCGGUGAAAUGCUUAGAGAUCAUACAGAACACCGAUUGCGAAAGCAGCCUACCAAGCUACUUCUGACGUUGAGGCACGAAAGCGUGGGGAGCAAACAGGAUUAGAUACCCGUGUAGUC
rnacentral:rRNA from 1 species